CGGGACACGUGGUAUCCUGUCUGAAUAUGGGGGGACCAUCCUCCAAGGCUAAAUACUCCUGACUGACCGAUAGUGAACCAGUACCGUGAGGGAAAGGCGAAAAGAACCCCGGCGAGGGGAGUGAAAAAGAACCUGAAACCGUGUACGUACAAGCAGUGGGAGCACGCUUAGGCGUGUGACUGCGUACCUUUUGUAUAAUGGGUCAGCGACUUAUAUUCUGUAGCAAGGUUAACCGAAUAGGGGAGCCGAAGGGAAACCGAGUCUUAACUGGGCGUUAAGUUGCAGGGUAUAGACCCGAAACCCGGUGAUCUAGCCAUGGGCAGGUUGAAGGUUGGGUAACACUAACUGGAGGACCGAACCGACUAAUGUUGAAAAAUUAGCGGAUGACUUGUGGCUGGGGGUGAAAGGCCAAUCAAACCGGGAGAUAGCUGGUUCUCCCCGAAAGCUAUUUAGGUAGCGCCUCGUGAAUUCAUCUCCGGGGGUAGAGCACUGUUUCGGCAAGGGGGUCAUCCCGACUUACCAACCCGAUGCAAACUGCGAAUACCGGAGAAUGUUAUCACGGGAGACACACGGCGGGUGCUAACGUCCGUCGUGAAGAGGGAAACAACCCAGACCGCCAGCUAAGGUCCCAAAGUCAUGGUUAAGUGGGAAACGAUGUGGGAAGGCCCAGACAGCCAGGAUGUUGGCUUAGAAGCAGCCAUCAUUUAAAGAAAGCGUAAUAGCUCACUGGUCGAGUCGGCCUGCGCGGAAGAUGUAACGGGGCUAAACCAUGCACCGAAGCUGCGGCAGCGACGCUUAUGCGUUGUUGGGUAGGGGAGCGUUCUGUAAGCCUGUGAAGGUGUACUGUGAGGUAUGCUGGAGGUAUCAGAAGUGCGAAUGCUGACAUAAGUAACGAUAAAGCGGGUGAAAAGCCCGCUCGCCGGAAGACCAAGGGUUCCUGUCCAACGUUAAUCGGGGCAGGGUGAGUCG
rnacentral:rRNA from 1 species